CCUACGGGCGGCAGCAGUGAGGAAUAUUGGUCAAUGGGCGAGAGCCUGAACCAGCCAAGUCGCGUGAGGGAGUACUUACCUAUGGGUUGUAAACCUCUUUUGUAGGGGAGCAAAAGACGGACGUGUCCGGCUGUGAGAGUACCCGAAGCAAAGGCAUCGGCUAACUCCGUGCCAGCAGCCGCGGUAAUAAGUGGGAUGCGAGCGUUAGCCGGAUUUAUUGGGUGUAAGGGGUGCGCAGGCGGAUUUUUAAGUCAGCGGUAAAAUCGUGGGGCUCAACCCCAUCCAGCCGUUGAAACUGGGGAUCUAGAGUGUGCGAGAGGUAUGCGGAAUGCGUGGUGUAGCGGUGAAAUGCAUAGAUAUCACGCAGAACCCCGAUUGCGAAGGCAGCAUACCGGUGCACAACUGACGCUCAGGCACGAAAGCGUGGGUAUCGAACAGGAUUAGAUACCCGUGUAGUC
rnacentral:rRNA from 1 species